GGAGAUUUAUCACUGCAGACGACAGAUUAAAUACAGCAAAGACAAGAUGUGGUACUUGGCUAAAUUGAUCAGAGGUAUGACCAUUGACCAGGCACUCACUCAGCUCGAGUUCAACGACAAGAAGGGAGCUAAAAUAAUCAAAGAGGUGAUAUUGGAAGCUCAGGACAUGGCGGUCAGAAAUCUCAAUGUGGAAUACAAAUCAAAUCUAUAUAUUGGUAAG